UUUGUGCCUCAUUUAACUUAUAAUAAAAAAUUUAUUUCUUUCUCAUCUUUCCAGAAAAAAUGAAAACACAGACACAGCAGCCACAACAACUCUUCAUCAUCCGAGUAUUUUCAUUAAAAUAUUUGUCACUCUUUUUUUUGUAGAGUUCGAGGUAAAAUCACGGAUUUACAGCCCUCCCUAGAAUUUAUUAGAUUCUUUGUGGGAUUCGACGAAAAAAAUUUGAAAUUGGUAUUUCAAAGUUUUAUUGAGCUCUUAUUUCAAAGAUAAAUUGACCAGAUAAUUGAAAGUUGAAGUUCGUACCAAUUGAGUUGCAGUAAUUUGUUUUUCAAUGAAGGAUCUUGUUAUAGCUUGGAGUGAACCGAUUUGCAGUAUUUAUCAAAAUCAAAAAAAUUUCUGGAUUACGAGAAAUUUAUUUGAUUCGACAUGAGAAAGUAGAGAGAGACUCAUUCAUAACUUUAGAACGGGAUAACUCAGUAAUAAGUUCUUCGUCUUCUCAUUCAGGUUUUGCAUUAUUUGCAAAUGAUCAAUAUUUAUUCGAUGGAGGAGGACUGCGGAAGGAAGUGAUAUGAAAGUUUAUUUUGUACUAAGAUUUUCUUUAAUCUCUACAAACUCAGGGGAUCGAAGGGGGAAAACAAAGUCACGCAGAACAGAGAACUUCCCAAAAUCAUCACGUCUUCAAGAAUAACAAUAGCCUCAUCCCACAGAAACACAAAAUUGUUAGUCUCGUAGCACCACUUUUCUACCAACCCAAAAAUAAUCUUUUGAUAUGUCUGGACUCUAUAAACUAAAUUCUUGAUAGCUCUAUAAAUCCCUGCAUCUUUCCAUAUAACCUCAAUCAUUUCAAUCCAUUCUUUCCAUUUCAUUUUUGAUCCCUCCAUCCAUUGCAACCAUGAAAGGGGAAUUCCAACGACCACUCAGAUUCGGAUGGAAAAGGAAUUGAAGGAGGCUUCAAAUUUGUUCUUUCUUUCGAAGCAUCAAUUGGAUUUAAGAAAUAGGAAUUUCUGUGUUGUGGGAUUCAACCAAGUUGUGAAACCAACAUCUUGUCUGUUUCAUUCAUGUUUGGAUCUUCGGUUAAUUCUUUAAAAUGCAUAAUUCACCUUGUUUUAGAAAAAGCAAAGAGUGAAUUUGAUUCUUUUAGAAAAAUAAAAAGUAACUCUUGUGUGUUUUUCUU